rnacentral:rRNA from 1 species
GGCCCACCAAGGCGACGAUCGGUAGCCGGCCUGAGAGGGUGAUCGGCCACAUUGGGACUGAGAUACGGCCCAGACUCCUACGGGAGGCAGCAGUAGGGAAUAUUGCACAAUGGGGGAAACCCUGAUGCAGCAACGCCACGUGUGGGAAGAAGCAUUUCGGUGUGUAAACCACUGUCAUGAGGGAAUAAGGCCCGUCUUCGGACGGGAUUGAAUGUACCUUGAAAGGAAGCACCGGCAAACUUCGUGCCAGCAGCCGCGGUAAUACGAGGGGUGCAAGCGUUGUUCGGAAUUACUGGGCGUAAAGGGAGCGUAGGCGGAGAUUCAAGCGGAUUGUACAAUCCCGGGGCCCAACCCCGGCUCUGCAGUCCGAACUGGAUCUCU